UGGCCUGUCCAAAGCUUGCACGAGCACAUUUAAGAUGUUUGAAAACCCAGGCGGGUACACAUGGAAGUUGACGCCCCCGGCGAUGAAGGAUAAAUUUUUUGAUGAAUUACAGGUACAAUUAAAUUUAUAAUACAUAUAAAUAUAUCAUAUUAAAUUGUUAAAAUGUUUGAUAUUAAAUUAAUUCUCUUUCUUUCAACAGAAAGAGUUUAUGUGGCAGCCCGAUGAUGAGCGUGACGUGAGGAAAAUGUGGGAGACAAAAGCCCGCAAAAGGUACUCCGACAUGAUGAGCG
rnacentral:lncRNA from 1 species